AUCCAGCUGACGAGUCAAAAAUAGGACGAAACGUGCGUCAAACUAGAU
rfam:Schistosoma margrebowiei strain Zambia genome assembly, scaffold: SMRZ_scaffold0001129